rnacentral:rRNA from 1 species
AUGAACGCUGGCGGCGUGCCUAAUACAUGCAAGUCGAGCGAACGGACGAGAAGCUUGCUUCUCUGAUGUUAGCGGCGGACGGGUGAGUAACACGUGGAUAACCUACCUAUAAGACUGGGAUAACUUCGGGAAACCGGAGCUAAUACCGGAUGAUAUUUUGAACCGCAUGGCUCAAAAGUGAAAGACGGUCUUGCUGUCACUUAUAGAUGGAUCCGCGCUGCAUUAGCUAGUUGGUAAGGUAACGGCUUACCAAGGCAACGAUGCAUAGCCGACCUGAGAGGGCGAUCGGCCACACUGGAACUGAGACACGGUCCAGACUCCUACGGGAGGCAGCAGUAGGGAAUCUUCCGCAAUGGGCGAAAGCCUGACGGAGCAACGCCGCGUGAGCGAUGAAGGUCUUCGGAUCGUAAAACUCUGUUAUUAGGGAAGAACAUAUGUGUAAGUAACUGUGCACAUCUUGACGGUACCUAAUCAGAAAGCCACGGCUAACUACGUG